GUGAGUUGUGCAGCUGAGGGAUGCCUGGAGCCGGGCAAUGGGAAACCCACAGAAGAGGGAGAUACAAAUUCUCAAUAUGAAGAGGUCUAACAACUGUGUGAUCCAUUCUUCAGGAGGCUCUGGUUGGUCAGCUCACAAUCCACCAAACCAUGAUUCUACUAGUGGGCCCAGUGAGGGAAGGAAGAAAUUGGGAGUGUUUCCCACGAAUAAAUGAUUUUCAUUACUGAAAAUCUAAUUUCCAUAAUUACUAUGACUCUAAAAUUUCUGUGAGUUUCUGAAGCCUUUGUACCUGUAGUGUACUCUGAGGAAAACCUUUCCGUGAAUCAUGUUCACAAAUAUACAGCAAAUGCUUCCCUUGUGUGGUGGUUUCCACACACCUUUUUCAAGCUAGGAGCUGGCCCUGGUGGGAAGUGAGAGAAGGAGGUCACUAUUUUACCCGACGAUCUUAGUGGUUUUGGAUUUCCUCACGUGUCAACUCACAAGUGACAAGUCAAAUAAAUAUGUAGAUGUGCUUUAAAAAUAGUGAAGGCAACGCUGGGUGGGCCUGGCAGUGCUUGGCAGUAACUACGGUGCUAAGGUGCCCAAGCAGGAGGAUUGUGAGUUCAAGGAUAGCCUGAUCCCCUAGUGAGAUCAUGUCUCAAGAAUGUAUCCAUUCAUUAGUAAAUGCUUUAAAUGCCAUCUUCCUCUUUCUUUCCAUUAUAGAUACCAUUGAACAUUUUUGUAACAAAGUAAGGAAUGUGAGCUGCCUGUUCUAUAGGCCAUUUAUACCCCAUGAAGUUCUGUAACAACCCAGGCAAGCACAAGCUACAGGAGCCUGUGGCCUUCCUCCUGAGCUGCCCACCUCCCUCCACACUCUGCCGACAUUCCAUGUCCUCUGUCAUAUCUCUCCUUAACUCCACGCUGUUUUACAGGCGUGAAUAGGAGCUUGUGUAAAAUAGCAGUUGAAAAGUCAAAUGUCUGAAACAGGAAGUGAAAGGGGUUGAGCGUCCUUGCAAAGAGUGGCUGCUCUCUUUCCAGCUUUGGCAGGAGAUGGAAGUCUCACCUAUCCCUCAUGGAGGGUGGGUGGGGGUGGUGGCUUCUUUGUCCCCAAUUUCUUCAGUGUCACACUAGGGCACCUUAAUCUGGUGUCAGUGGGCACAGUUCUGAGGAACAUAUAACUGAAGGGCUACAUGAAAAUAUCCCUACUUCUUUUUAAUUUAGAAAAAAGUGAAAGUUUCAAGAUCUAAGAAAAUGCUUUGACUUUAAUUUAGCCUGUGUUACAUUUUCUUAUAUAUAGAAUAUGACCUUCAAUAUUUUCAUCUAGGAAGAGCCCAAAAGCUAAGUGCAUGGGACAUACCGGUCCCAAUGCAGCCCAGGUCAUCCCUGACAGUGACUUUCACAAGGUUCUGCAGCCUUCCCAUCAUCCCCAAAGUCUCCACGGGCCUCAAAAUUAGCAAUCACCACUCAAUACUCGCUCUGUAAAGCAUUUGCUCAGCUAACAAGUCAGUGCUGAAGUAUAUAAAGCCUGCUGCCUGCCCCCAGGGAGUGGGUAGACUAGUGAGGGAAACAGAUCAAGGUCAGGAAGGAGAAAAGCCAUUGUGUGGAGAGUGGACACAGCUGAGGGCAAAACUGUACCAGCAGGGGGCAGCGUGCAGUCCUCAGCAACACCUGAGGCCCAGGACAAGCACCUGCAGAAGUGAACGAUGUGUACAUCCACAGUGGGAAAAGAAGUCGAGAAGGUCUAUUGAUAAUGAGUAAGGGAGCUUUGAUGGAGAGGUGUGGCAUGUUAUUGACUGAUAAUACCAACCAAGGUGGCCACACUGGGAAAGGACAGGCCAGAGGAGCAGUCAAAUGUGAAUAGACAGACAGACAGGGAUAGAUAGACAGAGAGGCUGGGGGUCAUAGUGCAGUUGGAAGCCUAUUAAUUAAAACUGAGCAGAAACCUUCAGAGUAGAGGAGGUUUCAGCAAACUGAAAAACAACAGCCCCAACAACAACAGCCUUCAUUUCUGUGAGAAAAGGAGACUCCUGCCAUCCACAGGGCCAUGAGAGAAUAGGGUAGUUAGUUUUGUUUGACAGUCACUGUGCAGAACGCCAGGCUGUAACUUGCCCACCGCCACUCACAGCUCCUUACAUGCACUCUGUCUGUUGACCUGCUCUCCUCACAUUCACUAGGGUGGUGACUGCAGAGGCAGGCCUGGCUCCUUGAGCAGCACUACCUCUGACAUUCGCUGGAACUCAACAAAUGAAGGAAAAAAGAUACAAAACUUAAAUACUAGAAUCUGUGCCUUGCUGAUGCUUACCUGACGAUAGUUGUUUACUUGGCUUCCUUUGGGUUCGGUUGUCUGCACUAGCAGCCAUUCCCCGUGGCAGCUUGCACAUGCUCACUGUCGGAGGAAAGUGCUUUAAUGCACCAUGAAUCUGCAAGUGAACACCAGUGUUGAUUUAGAAAAAAAGUAAGAGGUGAGGUUGACAGAAGCAUGAAGUCCAAUAAAGCCUCUAUUUCUUUUAUUCCAGAAGAAACCAGAAGGCCGCCCUGUGGGUCCCCAGCUUAUGCAGGAACUUUUAGACAGAACAGUUUCCUCACACUUUGACAUGAUGUCACUGUUCUCUUAUAUAAGGGUCUAUAUUCUUUUCCAUUUGUUAAAAUAAAUGAGAAAGUCUCCUUGUAUGGAAAAUGCACCCUUUUAGGAAGGAAAAUAAAAUGUAAUUUGUAAUUAAUUAGUAGAAGAUCAAUGAGAUACAAAACCUAAUAAGAGAAGGAAAUAUGCUGACUG
rnacentral:lncRNA from 1 species